rnacentral:rRNA from 1 species
GAUGAAUGCUGGCGGCGUGCCUAACACAUGCAAGUCGAGCGGUAGCAGGUCUAGUUUACUAGAUGCUGACGAGCGGCGGACGGCUGAGUAACGCGUGGGAACAUGCCCCAAAGUGAGGAAUAACUGCCCGAAAGGGUAGCUAAUGCCGCAUAUGAUCUUCGGAUUAAAGGAUUUAUCCGCUUUGGGAGUGGCCUGCGUACGAUUAGGUAGUUGGUAGGGUAAUAGCCUACCAAGCCUACGAUCGUUAGCUGGUCUGAGAGGAUGACCAGCCAGACUGGAACUGAGACACGGUCCAGACUCCUACGGGUGGCAG